rnacentral:tRNA from 1 species
AAAGAAUUAAUUUAAUUAAAAUAUUAAUAUGUCAUGUUAAAAUUAUUAGAAAAUAAUCUAAUAUUCUUUU